GACGAACGCUGGCGGCGUGCUUAACACAUGCAAGUCGAACGGCAACGCCCUGCCUUUGUGGGGUGCUCGAGUGGCGAACGGGUGAGUAACACGUGAGUAACCUGCCCUUGACUUUGGGAUAACUUCCGGAAACUGGGGCUAAUCCCGGAUCGGAGCUCCUGCUGCAUGGUGGGGGCUGGAAAGUUCCGGCGGUUGGGGAUGGACGCGCGGCUUAUCAGCUUGUUGGUGGGGUAGUGGCUCACCAAGGCUUUGCCGGGUCGCCGGCCUGAGAGGGUGACCGGCCACAUGAGGACUGAGGUACGGCCCAGUCUCCUACGGUAGGCAGCAGUGGGGAAUAUUGCACAAUGGGCGGAAGCCUGAUGCAGCAACGCUGCGGUCGUGAUGACGGCCUUCGGGUUGUAAACCGCUUGCGCCUGUGACGGAGCGUGAAUGACGGUAAUGGGUAAAGAAGCACCGGCUAACUACGUG
rnacentral:rRNA from 1 species